rnacentral:lncRNA from 1 species
GCGGGGAUCCCAAAAUUCCUGGGGAUCCCAAAAAUCCCAAGGGAGCCGAAAUUCCAGGGGGAUCCCAAAAUUCCAAUGGGAUCCCAAAAUCCCAACGGGAUCGCAAAAAAUCCCAGGGAAUCCCAAGGGGAUCCCAAAAAUCCCAGGGAAUCCCAAAAAUCCGGUGGGAUCGCAGCUCCUGCUCCAGGCGCUUCUGGGUUUUAUUCCUUGAAUCCCUCUGGGGGAAUCCCACUGGAAUUUUGGGAGAAUCCCACUGGAAUUCCGGGGGGAUCCCGCUGGAAUUCUGGGAGAAUCCUGCCAGAAUUCCGGGUGAAUCCUGCUGGAAUUCCAGGGGAUUCCCAUUGGAAUUUUGGGAGAAUACUGCAGGAAUUCUGGGGGAAUCCCAGGAAAACCUUGUUGGAGUUCCAGGGGAAUCCUGCUGGAAUUCUGGGAGAAUCCCGAUGGAAUUUUGAGGGAAUCCUGCCGGAAUUUUGGGGGAAUCCCCCUGGAAUUGUGGGAAAAUCCCACUGGAAUUUUGGGAAGAUCCCACUGGAAUUUUGGUGGAAUUCCGGAGGAAUCCCGCUGGAAUUCCACGCGCUCCCAGAUUUUCCAGCUCCGCUCCGGGAUUUAUUCCCAAACUUCGGGCUUGGGAACAGAGCUCGGGAUUUUCACACGGGAGAAGGAGCCGGAUCCCAGACGGGAGCGAGGCGGAAUUCCCGACGGGAACCAGAUCUGGAUUCCGGACGGGAACGGCGCGGUCCCGCCUGGGAACACCGGAAUUCCACGUGGGAAUGUCCCGAUCUCACGUGGGAAGGUCGGAAUUCCAGGUGGGAAUGUCCCGAUCCCGUGUGGGAAGGCCGGAAUUCCACGUGGGAAUGUCAGAAUUCCAUGUGGGAAUGUCAGGAUCCGGUGUGGGACCAUCAGGAUCCAGCAGGAACAUCAAAAUUCCGUGUGGGGAUCCAGCGGGAAUGGGCCGGAAUUCCAUGCGGGAAUGUCGGGAUCCCGCGUGGGAAGGUCAGAAUUCCACAUGGGAAUGUCAGGAUCCAGCGGGAAUGGGUCGGAAUUCCGUGUGGGAAUGUCGGGAUCCAGCAUGGAAAGGUCGGGAUCCAAUGGGAAUAUCAAGAUUCUGUGUGGGAACAUCGGAAUUCCGUGUGGGAAUGUCGGGAUCCCGCACGUGAGAAUGUGCCAGAAUUCCAUGUGGGAGGGUCGGGAUCCAAUGGGAAUAUCAAGAUCCCGCAUGGGAACACCGGAAUUCCAGGUGGGAGCGUCAGGAUCUUGUGUGGGAACGAUG